rnacentral:rRNA from 1 species
GAUGAACGCUGGCGGCGUGCUUAACACAUGCAAGUCGAACGAAGCUAUUGUUUGGAAACCUUCGGGUGGAAAAAUGAUAGACUGAGUGGCGGACGGGUGAGUAACGCGUGGGUAACCUACCUUGCACAGGGGGACAACAGUUGGAAACGACUGCUAAUACCGCAUAAGACCACGGUACCGCAUGGUACAGGGGUAAAAACUGAGGUGGUGCAAGAUGGACCCGCGUCUGAUUAGCUAGUUGGUGGGGUAAAGGCCUACCAAGGCGACGAUCAGUAGCCGACCUGAGAGGGUGAUCGGCCACAUUGGGACUGAGACACGGCCCAAACUCCUACGGGAGGGCAGCAGUGGGGAAUAUUGGACAAUGGGGGGAAACCCCUGAUCCAGCGACGCCGCGUGAGUGAAAGAAAGUAUUUUCGGUAAGUAAAAGCUCUAUC